GGCCCUACGAGCGGGUUGGUAGGGGCGUGGGGCUGGUUUGGGAUUCCCUGAAUGAUGUACAGUGGCUUCAAAAGUAAAAGUUUGAAUACACUGUCCUAACCAAAAAAAGACAAUAUAAAAUAGAUUUUGGUGAUUGGUUUCUCUUAAUUGCCUAAAUGGAAGGCCUCCCCACUUGAGGAUGGCAGUGUGCUGGUUUUGGUCAUCUCUCUACAUUGCUCACUCUGUUUAUUCAAGUAAUCAAUGCGGUAAAACUCAUAAUUCUUAUAGCUAGAACUCUCUAGAUUUUAUUUCCUUGAGUGCUAUUCAUCGAAAUAUAACGGGUAAAAUCCAAUCAAUUAUAAAUAAUCAUCAGUACAUGGCCCUUUUUCACCCAACAUGACACCACAAUAGGCACCAAAUUCUGACAGAUGAUAUGGGCUCUUUUGGUAUUGGGACGUCCAAAAAACGUAUCUGGAGGGAAGGCCUACGACCCCAGCAGUGGCAAGAAUAUGUGCUGUGAAGGGACUCUGUACCACCUGCAGGUUCAGGACAGGCUCUCGGAGGAGGCCCAGUGCUCUGGGAGUGUCCUGAUGGAGGUCAGCUCCACCCAGACCCGCUGCUCUGCCCCAGGGCAAGACCUGCUCUACCCUACCCAGCCAGGGUUCAUCUGCCGUGGGCACCGCUACCCCAACACCACUCUGGUCUUGCUGCGUGGGGGUCCUGCACCCAAGGCCUGAAUCACACACCACCAGCAAAACAUGAUUCCAGGGCAGGUCAAUCCUUUUGGAAUUCCAGUCUCCGUCCAUGCUGGGAAGUUCUACGGCACGUCUCCCAGAGAUCACGUCUGCGGCGGGCUGAAUUAUGACGUUCUAGAAUACACCUGCUGUGAAGGAGUACGUCAUAACGGGGCGCGGCUGUCCUGCUGUGGAAACAGGGCCUUUAACCUCACCCAGGCUUCCUGUUGUGAAGGUCGACUAACUCUGAAUGUUAGCCAGCUGGUGUCAGAUUGCUGUGGGUUUAGGGCCUACGACCCACUCAACCAACUGUGUUGUGACUCACGGAUCCUAAACAGGACCCAUCCCCAUGCCAAGUGUUGUGGAAAAGAGUGUUACAAUGAAGACCACCAGCUUUGCUGUGGAAAUGUUGUCGAAGGAAGGAAGGUCCUGACCAAAAUGUCCAGUCACCACCGAUGCUGUGGAGACCGCCAGUUUGACCAGCAAAGCCACUGCUGCUGCUCUGAACCACUGUCCCCAGAGCCUCACAAUGCAAGCUGCUGUGCAUCAAGUUCUAAUCUGAGGGGAAUUGAUGCGAGUUCUCCAAACUGGUGUCUACAAUGGUGCAAGCUGUGGCUCUCAGGUUUACAAUCCAGACAUGAAGAUCUAGACAGGGCCCCUGUGGGAAGAGGGUGUUCUAUACUCAAAGCCAAUGUCCUAGAGGGCUGUUUGAUCUAA
rnacentral:lncRNA from 1 species